CCUACGGGAGGCAGCAGUGGGGAAUUUUGGACAAUGGGCGCAAGCCUGAUCCAGCCAUGCCGCGUGGGUGAAGAAGGCCUUCGGGUUGUAAAGCCCUUUCGGCUGGGACGAAAAGGUCCGUGUUAACACCACGGAUCCAUGACGGUACCAGCAGAAGAAGCACCGGCUAACUACGUGCCAGCAGCCGCGGUAAUACGUAGGGUGCAGGCGUUAAUCGGAAUUACUGGGCGUAAAGCGUGCGCAGGCGGUCUACUAAGACAGGUGUGAAAUCCCCGGGCUUAACCUGGGAACUGCGCUUGUAACUGGUAGGCUUGAGUGUGGCAGAGGGGGGUGGAAUUCCACGUGUAGCAGUGAAAUGCGUAGAGAUGUGGAGGAACACCGAUGGCGAAGGCAGCCCCCUGGGCUAACACUGACGCUCAUGCACGAAAGCGUGGGGAGCAAACAGGAUUAGAUACCCUGGUAAUCCACG
rnacentral:rRNA from 1 species